rnacentral:rRNA from 1 species
GACGAACGCUGGCGGCGUGCCUAAUACAUGCAAGUCGAACGAAGCUGUUUUAACUGGUGCUUGCACCGACUUAAACAACUGAGUGGCGAACGGGUGAGUAACACGUGGGUAACCUGCCCCAAAGCGGGGGAUAACAUUUGGAAACAGAUGCUAAUACCGCAUAACCACAGAAACCACAUGGUUUCUGUGUCAAAGAUGGUAUCGGCUAUCACUUUGGGAUGGACCCGCGGCGUAUUAGCUAGUUGGUAAGGUAAUGGCUUACCAAGGCAAUGAUACGUAGCCGAACUGAGAGGUUGAUCGGCCACAUUGGGACUGAGACACGGCACAAACUCCUACGGGAGGCAGCAGUAGGGAAUCUUCCACAAUGGACGAAAGUCUGAUGGAGCAACGCCGCGUGAGUGAAGAAGGUUUUCGGAUCGUAAAACUCUGUUGUCAGAGAAGAACGUGUGCGAGAGUAACUGCUCGUGCAGUGACGGUAUCUGGCCAGAAAGCCACGGCUAACUACGUGCCAGCCGCCGCAGUAA